rnacentral:rRNA from 1 species
GACGAACGCUGGCGGCGUGCCUAAUACAUGCAAGUAGAACGCUGAAGGGAGGAGCUUGCUCUUCUUGGAUGAGUUGCGAACGGGUGAGUAACGCGUAGGUAACCUGCCUUGUAGCGGGGGAUAACUAUUGGAAACGAUAGCUAAUACCGCAUAACAAUGGAUGACCCAUGUCAUUUAUUUGAAAGGGGCAAAUGCUCCACUACAAGAUGGACCUGCGUUGUAUUAGCUAGUAGGUGAGGUAACGGCUCACCUAGGCGACGAUACAUAGCCGACCUGAGAGGGUGAUCGGCCACACUGGGACUGAGACACGGCCCAGACUCCUACGGGAGGCAGCAGUAGGGAAUCUUCGGCAAUGGGGGCAACCCUGACCGAGCAACGCCGCGUGAGUGAAGAAGGUUUUCGGAUCGUAAAGCUCUGUUGUAAGUCAAGAACGAGUGUGAGAGUGGAAAGUUCACACUGUGACGGUAGCUACCAG